UACGUAGGGUGCAAGCGUUAAUCGGAAUUACUGGGCGUAAAGCGUGCGCAGGCGGUUUUGUAAGACAGAGGUGAAAUCCCCGGGCUCAACCUGGGAACUGCCUUUGUGACUGCAAGGCUAGAGUACGGCAGAGGGGGGUGGAAUUCCGCGUGUAGCAGUGAAAUGCGUAGAUAUGCGGAGGAACACCGAUGGCGAAGGCAACCCCCUGGGCCUGUACUGACGCUCAUGCACGAAAGCGUGGGGAGCAAACAGGAUUAGAUACCCUGGUAGUCCACGCCCUAAACGAUGUCAACUGGUUGUCGGGUCUUAACUGACUCAGUAACGAAGCUAACGCGUGAAGUUGACCGCCUGGGGAGUACGGCCGCAAGGUUGAA
rnacentral:rRNA from 1 species